rnacentral:rRNA from 1 species
CCUACGGGAGGCUGCAGUGGGGAAUAUUGCACAAUGGGGGAAACCCUGAUGCAGCGACGCCGCGUGAGUGAAGAAGUAUUUCGGUACGUAAAGCUCUAUCAGCAGGGAAGAAAAUGACGGUACCUGACUAACAUGCCCCGUCUAACUACGUGCCAGCAGCCGCGGUAAUACGUAGGGGGCAACCGUUAUCCGGAUUUACUGGGUGUAAAGGGAGCGUAGACGGCAGCGCAAGUCUGAAGUGAAAUCGCAUGGCUUAACCAUGGAACUGCUUGGGAAACUGUGCAGCUGGAGUGCAGGAGAGGUAAGCGGAAUUCGUAGUGUAGCGGUGAAAUGCGUAGAUAUUAGGAGGAACACCGGUGGCGAAGGCGGCCUGCUGGACUGUGACUGACGUUGAGGCCCGAAGGCGUGGGGAGCAAACAGGAUUAGAUACCCUUGUAGUC